rnacentral:pre_miRNA from 1 species
UUACUACUACCUCCGUUCCAUAAUUCUUGUCUCAAAUUUGCCUAAAAAUGGAUGUAUCUAUUCAUAAAAAGCGUCUAGAUACAUGUAAUAUUUUGACAAGAAUUAUGGAACGGAGGGAGUAAUGC